rnacentral:rRNA from 1 species
UACGAAGGGGGCUAGCGUUGUUCGGAAUUACUGGGCGUAAAGCGCACGUAGGCGGACAUUUAAGUCAGGGGUGAAAUCCCAGAGCUCAACUCUGGAACUGCCUUUGAUACUGGGGAUCUUGAGUCCGGGAGAGGUGAGUGGAACUGCGAGUGUAGAGGUGAAAUUCGUAGAUAUUCGCAAGAACACCAGUGGCGAAGGCGGCUCACUGGCCCGGUACUGACGCUGAGGCGCGAAAGCGUGGGGAGCAGACAGG